UAUACCACCAACAGAAACAUCCGGUCCUUUGCACAGCAUUGUGCACCGGCACAGACACGCGCUCUGCACUCGCUCAUUGCAGGAUUAUAGCAUUUAAUCCACACUGCAGCAGCUGCCAGAUGCUGCAGCAAUGCUGAGCUGAUGGGUUUGAGGUUGAAAGAGAGGAAGAAGGCACAUAAGUUCCCUGUCAUGCUGAGAUGACUGAGCUGCACAAAGGAUCUGAACUGCCUCAAGAAUUUGAUUUAUUAAUACGUGGGUUGUCCAGGAAUCAAGCCAAAGUUCUAUUUGUCUCACACAGUUCAGUUCAAUCGUUUAAAUGGAGUUUAUACAUUGCUUCAAACCAGUGUUUUUCAACUAGUGUGCCGCUGCACACUAGUGUGCCUUGGGAGAUGGUCAGGUGUGCCGUGGGAAAUUGCCUGUCAUGGUGCCCGGAUCAGUUCCCCUCCCCUCCUCCAGCUGCUCCUCUCCUAACCACCACCAGCUGUUGUCACUCAACCUCAUCAAACCCUGCUGUUAAAAGGAGACCUCAUCCACCAGUUCAUCGCCAGAUCGUUACCCCUUAUGGAAACCUUUGCCACGAGUGACGUCAGUGGAACUCAGGACCCGCUUCACGGAGCACCGCUGGGGAAAUCCCAACACGCCGACCGCGUUCGUAACUCCAGCCACGCCACCAACCACAGCCGCCUCUGGAUCACCCUCGGACCUUUGGACCUCCUGGGAGAAAAUAAUAAAUAACCUUCUUACCUGU